CAAAGUUGUAAAAACAUGGCGGCGGCGAGUGAUGGUAAUGGCCCUUGUAUUUCGUGCACAAGUUUAACAAAAUACACUUGUUUAAAGUGCAAAAAAUUUUUAUCUACAAGGUGCUCUAUUUUUGAAGACGACGAAGAGAGUGUUGGUUGGAAAGCAGAACGAGCGGUUUCUCGUUGCGAUGCAUGUUUUCGUGAAAAGAUUGGGAGUGAGGGAAGUCGAUCAGUAAAUUUGUAGGAGUACAUCUUUUCGGGCGAGCAUACGUUCAUUUCGACUGUCCUCUUGUGAGAGCAUCGAAGGCGAAGUAGAAUCGACCAAGGCCAUUAAAACAAUUGAAUAAAAAUUCUUCGAUGGUGUAAAAGUAAUCUCCUCGUCCCAAUCUGUAAAGGCAUAUACCAAGUCUUUCCUCCGGAGAAAUGGGUUCUAUUUCCGCUUUCCCAUUUUCUUCCAAACCAGAAUUUCCAUAUUUGCAAAAGGCAGCUCCAGAAAAAAAAAGCGAGAAAGAAUACGAUGCAAUAUGUCAGAGCCAACAAAGCUAGGUAAUAUGUCACGCGUAAAACAAUAAUAUAUUGAAACCCUUUUCUUGGCGAAUUUUUUCAAAGGUUGAUUCUCCUUUAGUUUAGUGAUUGCCACAUGAAGGGUUAAUGAACUACGAAAGUUGAACUGAAAUCAUGCAAAGUUUUAAUCUCCUAUCUACAAAUCAUGUAAACCAAGUGAAAUAAAUAGGAGUUUAAACGUUGUA